AGUUCACUCCACGCCAUUUAUCUUGGUACGAAAAUGCUGCUGUUUCUCUGUUGGUGACACAGUUGUGAGUGCGAUCCUUUCACCCACUCACUCAACCAUCACCUUCAAUAAUUCUACCUCUUCCCCGUCUAAAGGAAAAGGUUCAACAUCAUGUGCAAAAGAAAGAACCGAGGGUCGGAAUUGAGGCAUCAGAGUAGGUCAACAUCGCCGGAGUUUUCUUCCUCGUCGUCUUGUUCUUCGGUAUCAUACUCACCAAAGUUUGCAACCGAGGAAGAAGAGAAAGUGCAUGGUGAAAAUGGUGAAGAAACAAAGGCCAUGGAUCUGGUUGGUUGUCCUCGGUGCUUCAUGUUCGUGAUGCUAUCAGAGGAGGAUCCAAAGUGCCCUAAAUGCAAGAGCACAGUGUUUCUUGAGUUUUUCAAACAUGAAAACUUCAAGACAGACAACUAAGUUCUUCCACAUGCAUGGGUUUUAGCUGAUUCUGGUAAAAUAAGGAAACAAAAAAUCGUGGUUCUAGGAUGUUUAGUUAUUUAUGCUUAUUUAAAAUCUUAUGGACCAUAUCCUCAUAUCCUGGUGAGUUAUGUACAUAGAGUAUGGAGAAGAUGGUGACAGAGAAGGGUGGAAAGUUCUUCUUCCCGAGGGGAAUGUAAUUUGGGUUCAUGUACUUCUUUGGUUUAAUUAAGUUGCAGAUUGUAAUUAUAUGUUAAA